AUGGCUCAGAGCGAACGCUGGCGGCAGGCCUAACACAUGCAAGUCGAGCGCCCGCAAGGGGAGCGGCAGACGGGAGAGUAACACGUGGGAACGUGCCCUUUGGUUCGGAACAACCCAGGGAAACUUGGGCUAAUACCGGAUAAGUCCGUAAGGAGAAAGAUUUAUCGCCAAAGGAGCGGCCCGCGUCUGAUUAGCUUGUUGGUGAGGUAACGGCUCACCAAGGCGACGAUCAGUAGCUGGUCUGAGAGGAUGAUCAGCCUCACUGGGACUGAGACACGGCCCAGACUCCUACGGGAGGCAGCAGUGGGGAAUAUUGGACAAUGGGCGCAAGCCUGAUCCAGCCAUGCCGCGUGGGUGAUGAAGGCCCUAGGGUUGUAAAGCCCUUUCGGCGGGGAAGAUAAUGACGGUACCCGCAGAAGAAGCCCCGGCUAACUUCGUGCCAGCAGCCGC
rnacentral:rRNA from 1 species